rnacentral:rRNA from 1 species
UACGAAGGGACCUAGCGUAGUUCGGAAUUACUGGGCUUAAAGAGUUCGUAGGUGGUUGAAAAAGUUGGUGGUGAAAUCCCAGAGCUUAACUCUGGAACUGCCAUCAAAACUUUUCAGCUAGAGUAUGAUAGAGGAAAGCAGAAUUUCUAGUGUAGAGGUGAAAUUCGUAGAUAUUAGAAAGAAUACCAAUUGCGAAGGCAGCUUUCUGGAUCAUUACUGACACUGAGGAACGAAAGCAUGGGUAGCGAAGAGGAUUAGAUACCCUCGUAGUCCAUGCCGUAAACGAUGUGUGUUAGACGUUGGAAAUUUAUUUUCAGUGUCGCAGCGAAAGCGAUAAACACACCGCCUGGGGAGUACGACCGCAAGGUUAAAACUCAAAUGAAUUGACGGGGACCCGCACAAGUAGUGGAGCAUGUGGUUUAAUUCGAAGAUACGCGCAGAACCUUACCAACACUUGACAUGUUCGUCGCGACUCUAAGAGAUUAGAGUUUUCGGUUCGGCCGGACGAAACACAGGUGCUGCAUGGCUGUCGUCAGCUCGUGUCGUGAGAUGUUGGGUUAAGUCCCGCAACGAGCGCAACCCUCACUUUUAGUUGCCAUCAUUAAGUUGGGCACUCUGAAAGAACUGCCAGUGAUAAGCUGGAGGAAGGUGGGGAUGACGUCAAGUCCUCAUGGCCCUUACGUGUUGGGCUACACACGUGCUACAAUGGUAUCUACAACAGGAAGCAAGACUGCGAAGUUAAGCAAAUCCCUAAAAGAUACCUCAGUUCGGACUGCACUCUGCAACUCGAGUGCAUGAAGCUGGAAUUACUAGUAAUCGUGGAUCAGCGUGCCACGGUGAAUGCGUUCCCGGGUCU